AGGGUCGGAUAUAAAACAAAAACCAAAAGUGCCGAGUAACAUCGGUAGUAAUCGCCAGGUUUGUCUCACAACUGAAAUCUUUGUUGAUGUCAGGACUGGGUAGGCUUGGUUAGAAUGGAAUGGAAUAUUGGUCUCUACGUCCGGUUCUCUAGAAAUUAUUGAUACUGGUACUGAAACAAAAUAAACGAUGCUAACAUUAAGAGAAACUCGAUUGAAAAAAUAUCGUGGAAAAAUCUCAUACUUGCGACCUC
rnacentral:misc_RNA from 1 species